GCUUUGUAUGCACAUGUGCUGGCCUCAUAUUCUAGAGUGAGAAACUAGUACAGAUAAAAAACACGAAGUGCCUGACGUACAGAUGCACACUUCUGUGGUUUCCAUAUGUUCUUUAGGAUUUGGAGGACCCUACUAUGCUCAGCACACCUCAUACCACUGAUCACAUUUAGUGUUGGCAGUGAUUGCUUUUUACACGUGCCUCUCGGUAUUUUCCAGAACAUACUGCUGUGAUCCUCACUUCUCCAUGAUGGGUGCAGUGGCCCCACUGGACAGAGAGCAGUCUCUGAGGCCCAGGAGAUAUGGCUUCAUUUCCCACCUCAUAUGCAAGUAGAAACCCAAAGCAGAAGCCAGGUCUUUGUAUUAUCAUUUCACCGUUCAGCCUCUGAGACGAUCGCUUAAUUUUCUAGGCGUGCAAGUAUUUUCAGUCCUAAAAUAAUCAUUUGUGGUAUAACGUAAGCCCUCAAACAUGUCCUCUAAAGUUAUACAGACAUAAGCUGAAAGAUCUUUGGUUUUCUUUGUCAGUUAGCCAUAGGAAAUUUAAGAAUUGACUAAAGUUGUAAGAACGGAAGUACUAAGUGUGUUUGACAGAAAAGCAGUUUUUAUUCUUAAAGAGCAGAAACUUCGUUUAUAUUUCUUUUCUUACCACAUGUACAGUAAGGGAGAAGAGAGUGUGUCUUCAAAGGUAGAAGGAAGUAUUUUGCUAGCUCUCUAAUAACCCCUGAGGUACUCUUUGUAGCCAGUUCAGAAAUGAUGGAGAUGCAUGGUAUAAAGGUGAGUUGUGACUUGCUUACCCACGUUGGAGAAGGACAUGAAAUCAGGUCAAGGCUUUGCUGGCUGCUGGUGGGAAAGUCUCAGUGGCGUUGAACUCUUAUGUUUGCUAUUAUUUGUUUGCAAACCAACUGGUAAAACUUGUAAAACUUUUGCAUGUUUCUCAAGUGAUUCUAUUUUUCAUUUUAAAUACAUCUCACCUUCACAAUGCACUUACGUGACAUCCGAGGAGCUCAGUUAAGAUUCUGUGUUCUUUGGUCUAAAUGCAUGCGGUCGAGGAAGGUUUGCUCGUGUUCAGUUCUGUCCCUGAAGUUCUGUCAGUGACUGGGUCUUUAGACUUCUUCCCUUCCUCAUCACAUCAGAUAACUGAUAAGUUAAACAGCCUGGCUGGCUCACUUGGUGGAACGGGUGACUCUUGGUCUUGGGGUCGUGAGUUCAAGCCCCACGUUGGUUGGGUGUAGCAAUUACAUAGGUGUAGCCCAUACAUGGUGCAUAAGAUCACACAGGGAAAGAUCACCCGUUCCUACGACCCGUAUAAAUAUGUGGCCACUUUGGAUGAUUCAGAUCCCAAGUAGACACAGGCUCAUCUUUCUGGUCAGUGAAUUAUAUUUAUUAGACCUUUCUUUUUAGCAUUUAAGUAAAAUUCAUAGGUUUUAAAACUUUAUUGUUCCUGCUUAUCAAUUACAAAUAAGGCAUACUUUAGAACCUUGGGUAAAACUUUUUCCAGUUAAACUCGUGAACUUGGUAUGAAUAUGACUAUACGUAGCUCGCUUUAUCGUGUUUCCUGUUUAAUUGGAUGAGAAUUACAUGCACCUAUUCCCUUGUUCUUUGUGUUUAUAGGAAAAACUCUGUUCUCCGCUACCUCAUUAUGCGGUGUUGUGCUUGACCCCCUGCCAAUUUAGGAGAAUUCAACACAUUCUGUCCUUUAACAAAAGCCUGGAAGCCAGCAGCAGGCGGCCUUGAGGAAUACAAUUCUUUAAGGCUUAUUUUCCAUUUUACUAUUUUUUUUUUAAAUAGGCACUUUUAAUCAGGAGGAACAGUCAUUCUCCUAGAGCUGCUGCGAAGUGAUUACUUGAAACUCAACUUGAACUUUAAAGAGUCUUGAAAAGGCUAUGUUUUCAUAAUGUAGAAAAGUAGUAUAUUUAAACACCGCUGCUGUGUAAAACACAGGGCUUACUCUCCAUCCUUGUUAGGAUCAGACCUGAGAAGGUGUCUACCUGUCAUCUGACCCAGCGGUGGGAAUUCAGAUGCUUGGGGCUACUGUUUUUCUUUGUCUUAAGGUGCUACUGUGGUUGGUUUAAGGAGCUAUUAAGUGUAUUUCCAUGAAUUUGUUUCCCAAGAAUCUUUUAAUUUUGAUGACAAUAGAGGCUCAUUAGUAGAUUCCUCUUCUCUUUUCAUUCUGACAGUCUAGAGUUUUAAAAUGAAAUCUGAAAGUGUUUCCAAAGGACAAGGUUGAGGUUGACCAAACCACUUAGAAUUGCAGGAUGCUUAAAAUCACGAGCGACUGGAUUUUUUUCUGAGCAUCAGUGGAAUGUGCCUUCUCCGCACGGCGCACGGCGGGCUCUGUCCUCGCCAGCGCCUGUCACCUUCCCUGGUCGGUAAGUUAGGGGAGCGAGCCUCCCCGAGGCCCAUCGAUUCCUCCAGUCAGACCUUCCUCCUCCCGGAGCGGUUUCUUACAGGAAUUACCCAGCAUCCCUGGUGCCCAAAAGACUUCUGCCCGUUCGUAAAAACCUAGCGUCCCGGGAGUAACGUAGAGACCAGAUAAAAGCUAGCGACAGAACUGCCGUCAUCCUCCGACAUGAUCUAGUUUUUAAGCUUGUGCUUUUGAGGGUGAAAGGCAGAGUUUCUCCCCAGAUGACAGGACGUCAGCACCAGCGGGUCUGGCAGCAGGCGUGAGACAUUUUCCUAAGUGGUUUCCAAGAGAACCGACACUUACCGCUUCAGGGCCCCAGCCUUUUCCUUUCGAUUAUCUUGAGGAAAACCUGUGUAAACACUUUAUGGACUUGCGCAAGCAAACCUAGUGGCUGUGAGCGUGCACGGGCCCCGGAGCCAGGCACAGGUGGGUUUGAGGGCUUGCACCGAAGGCUGUUUUGUGACCUCUGGGAGCCCUUUAACCCUGAAGCCCAGUUCCUUACCUGUAGACGUAGGAGGACAGGGGUGUUUACGUCUUCGGGCUGCUCUGAGGACCAGAGACAUGAGGGCGAUGAGAGCCUGGUGCCACCGUGUGACCGUGGCCGCCGUGGCCACCCAGCCCGGCCUCCGGUCAUCGGUGCCCUCGCUGCGCGUCCUGACCUCGGCACUUCCGCGUUCGGACGUCUGCCACCGUGGGACCUACAAGUAAAUGGAUGUAUGUGUUGAUAAAAUGAUUUACUUCCUGGACCCAGGCCGCUGCUCUCCUUCCACUGCUCUAGUAUCUGGAUUCAGGAUGGUUCUGUAGAGCUGAAGCAUCCCCUAAUGCGUGUUUAGACCACUUAGAGUUGUUUUAAAUAACCCUCCGUUCCGAAUUUGCGUAAUGAAGCCCUCUAAGAAUACUUUAAAUUCUUUACCAAAGUUGAUUUUUCUUUUUCCCUUAAAAUGCCACAAGUAGUAGACUACACUGGUCAGAUCAACUGGAUAUUUUCUCGAUCUCUGUUUGAGAUCAGUAUACCUAUUCUCUCUUAACGUGGAUGCCAUGUGAAACUAAAGCAAAAAAACAAACAGAAUUUGUUACAGGUACAUGCGUGUGUGUGUGUGUGUGUGUGUGUGUGUGUGUGUGUGUGUGUGUCUGUAGAGCUUCCGCCCCUUCGGAUAAAGAAGGGUUAUUUAACAAAGUGAUGCAGAAAGUGAGCUACUUAAUUCCUUUCAUAACAUCGCUUCCUUUCCGGUUCGCACUCUGGGACUGGUAGAUUUAGCAGCAUGUAAGACAUUGUAUAAAGUCAUUCUUGGUAUCUUUGUGAAUAAAACAGGAAGUAGAAACAGGGCUACAAGGGCUGAGAAAUGGAUCGAACAGCCAUGCCAGACAUUGCCACUGAGAACAGCUUCUGAGGUACCGUGACAGUGUCCAUUUUUACUGUUUUUCUUAGUAAUUUGUAUAAAAGUAUAAAAGGCAGAGAAAAGUGCUGGGAGGGAUGAAGUGUUGGGCGUUAGGGUCUUUAGUGAUGCUACAGUCUAAUAAAUGGCUAAAGAGAAAGUCUUGUUGUAUCUAGGUUCAGAGGAGAUAGUUCCUAAAUGACAAAGAAAGAAAAAAAAACGUGGCGGGGUAGAGGGGAAUCACUGACAAUUUGAACACAAGGCAACUGUUUAAAAAAAAGAAUAGUGGCACCUAGGUGGCUCAGUCAAACAUCUGACUUCAGCUCAGGUCAUGAUCUCACAGUUCAUGAGCUCCAGCCCUGCACAUGGGGCUCUGUGCUGGCAGUGAAGAGCCCGCUUCGGAUCCUCUGUCUCCCUCUCUCUCUGCCCCACCCCAGCUUGCACUCUCUCUCUAUCUCUCUCUCUCUCAAAAAGUAAACAUUAAAAAAAAAAAAAAAAAAAGAUAGGGGCACCUGACUGGCUUAGUUGGUAGAGCAUUCGACUCUUGAUCUCAGGGUCGUGAGUUCAAGCCCCGUGUUGGGCAUAGAGCUUACUUUAAAAAAUAAGUAAAUUUUUUAUGGGGCGCCUAGGUGGCUCAGUCAGUUGGGCGUCCCACUUCGGCUCAGGUCGUGGUCUCACAGUUUGUGGGUUCGAGCCCCGUGUCGGGCUCUCUGCUGUUAGCACUGAGCCUGCUUCAGGUCCUCUGUCUACCCCCCCAUUCUCUGCCCAUCUCCCAUUUGUGCUGUCUCUCUCUCAAAAACAAACAGUAAAAAAUAAUAAUAAUAAUUUUUUUAAAAAACUAAAAAGAAAAAAAGACUAGUGUUUGUUGGGGGAGUGGGCUGGUAGCUAGAAAAGGACGUCUUCUGCUCCUUCAUCCACGGGCUGCCCCAGAUGGGCCCCUGGGCCACUGCAUUUAGCUGCCAGUUCUAGGCGCCACCAUCAGAGAGACCUGAGCAAGCCUGGGGCCCCCCAAGGGACGGCAGUGUGGGUGGUAGGCGCUCUGGGAGCUGGAAUCAGGACCUCCGGAGGCCUGAGGCUCUGGCCUGUGAGGAUGUCUUUAGAGCGAGCCGGUGUGCAUGGCUCAGGCCAGCAGUGGACACAGAGACAGAGUGGCCUUGUGGAAAAACGGGUGGCCUCUGUGGUACUGAGCGCUCGUCUCUGAAAUUGCCCCCUAGGAUGAGUCCUUGCGGCUGUGACUGACAGCACGCCAGCAUCGGUGAGAGGGUUCUUACCUGUGGCAGGAUAUUGGGCACCAUCUCCAAAGCUCCUUGCAGACGAACAGCUUAGUAAACAGUUGAGUGAGUGAUGUGGGGAAGGGGGAGCUUGUACUUCUGCGUUGAUUUUGAGGACAAAAGUCUUUGUUAUUUUCAACCUGUGCUCCCUCUCCUCCUUUCCCCCCUGCCCACUGCCCAUUUACUGCCUUCUGGCUGCAGCCCCUGGCCAGCAGCCGCAGCCUCCUUCAGAGAGCUUUCAGAAAUAGGCCUAGUUCUAGAGAUUUCCCUAAAACCAUGCUGUCAUCCAGAACAGCGAUUCUUGCUUUUUAUAUACUUUUUGCUCUAAAUCUGUCGUGUACCUGUGCAGAUUUAAGAAAGCUGAUGAGUAAAAUUGCAUUCUUUCAAGCAGGGCCCAGGUGACCCCACGGCCUGGGAUGCUCUCCAGGGGGCUCGUGCGCUGGGCCACCUCUUGGGGCUCCUUCUAGCUCGAGCAGUCGGCAGCCUUGGGGUGGAUUCUCGUUGUCCUUUGAGAAGAAUUUCCAAAGCAUCCGAUUCUGUGGUUUGCUCUCUCUCUUCUCUGAAGGCACAUGGCAGUCUUAGUCUGGAGGAGACGGAGGCGGCCCCUCACUCUGCGUGUCUCUUCUGCGCCCCCACCCCCAGCCUUGCAAAGAUCUGUCCCAAAACAGAGGAAGGCAGGCGCCAGUGGGGGCUCGCACCCACGUCCUCGUGAGGGAGCCGUCUGUGUGCUCUCGUCGCUUGGGUAUAUUUUCUCCCCAUUUCUUGAGUGGUCUUCGCUUACUGAGAAGCGCUGUUUGAACCAGUGUUGCUCCUCCCGCCCACGGCCCGCCGCGGCCGCCCAAGGACCCCGCUGGUGGGGCCUCCGGGGAAACAGGCCCCUCCGCGCCUGUCUCGUCUCCCUGCGCCAGUGUAGAGACUGGGUCAGGGUGGAAGAGGUUAUCUCAUGCUGUUUACGCCCUCUGGUUGCCCCUCCCAUCCCCCCCCUCUGCUCCUCAUCCUACGCCUGUCCCAGCCGGAGGUUUUAACUGCUUAAACUAUGUAUCUCAAAAAGGGGAGAAAAAGAAAACACAAACACACAACCCUUCUUGUUCCCCAGACCAUUCGCCUAAAAGUGUUUACUGAAAAGGCAUUCUUCUAGGAGCUCCUGACCCAGCCUUUGUGACUAGCACUUUCCACAGCCAGCUGGCCCUGGCUGCAAGACAGCCAGACCUGUCCCCCAGGCCCCGGGGAGCUUCCCAGAGUCCACGCCACCCCCCCACCUCCCGGGUGAGAGCUUGGGCCGGAGCCUCCCCUCCGAGGCCCGGCCCGCGACACAGCGGAGGCUCCUUAAGCAGCUGUAGGCUAGAACAGUCUCCCUGGGCCCCAGGUCGGCCCGCCCGCCACGCCUGCCCGGAGGCCCUCGGGGCUCCUCCCUGAGCCGGGAGAAGGGGCUCGAGGUGCCACACGUACUCUACCUCAGCACCAGGCCGCGAGGCGCCAUGUGGGCCCCAGGUGGCCCGGCAAGGCGUGCUCAGGCCCCGGGUGGCUCGGAGGCUUGCAGAAGCGAGCCUUGUGCCUCGGCCACACGCAGAGCCCGGGGGCCGGGCCCCGGGCUCUGCACCAUCAUUGUAUCCGCCAGAGCAGAGCGAGACCGUGGUCUCCUUGUCUCUUGGUGGGCUCGGAAUUUAAAACCACCCCUCCACGUUGUGAGCAGAAUCGGAAAUUAGAACCACUCGUUUACAAUCAGAGAGAGACCAUCUUUUCCUAUUUUCUUCAAAAGGGAUUUCUGCUUCCGAAGAAACUCCAGAAAAUAAAUGUGUUAUUAUUAAUCUAGCAUGUGCUCAUUGAACUUGACUCUUAACGCUUUGUAAAAAAACUAGGUAGGAUCUGGUACGGGGGGGCGGGGGGGGGGCAAAAGGGUGUCAUCAGCUUCAAAACAAACCAAUGUAUGUGGGUUCACAGCAUCUUCUUUUCCUACAUGGGACCUCAGAAUUCAAGUUCUCCUUGAAAACAGCCACAUUCCAGGGGGCAGGUAAUUUUGUGGGGGGAGGUGUGCCAAGCGGCCUUUAGUUGAGAAAAGCACAGAUAGUAGCAACACUUGCUUAGUUAAAUCAUCAGUGGCUUUUUCUACUGAUGGGAUUCUUUUCAUUUUGACCCGCUGGUAGCACAGCUUUUGUUUGGUGCCUCACUCUUGUACCCCUUCGAGUCGCCAGGGACGCAGUGAUACUUUGUUUCGAAUCGUACCAUUUGUGAACUGUGACAACCGUACAAAAGGAGGAGCGGUGGCCGUGGCAGCCUGCUGUGCGGUGACGCCUCCGCAGAACCGGGGUGGUCAGCGGACUGAACAAAAGCACCUCCCCGCCCCAGCUGUCCCCUCCCGUCCUCAUUAGGAACUGUCCCACGGAAGCACCGUAGGCAGGCUGGGGCAGAGUCCGUUUUAUCGCUGUUAUGUUCCCGGUAACAGGGAUGCACGUGUCUGGCUGGGAAGGAGGUCCAUCCGUAGCUCGUUAUAAACGCGUAGAUUCGUUCGGUCCCUGCCGUUUGAUGCAGCUCUGCUGUGAGCAAACUGUCAAGGGAAUUCCUUAAAACGGGGCUGUAAAUCCCACUGGACUCUCCGAGACUCAGGGCUGAUGUUCACUGUGGGCCCUGGCCCGGCAGGACGCCCCUUUUGGCUGGUUGCCCGUGUGGUCCCAGGCAUAGCUGCCUGACGGUCGCCCUUGUCAAGAAGUGGGUUUUAGCACACUUUCGAUUUGCCGUUUUGCCGCUUUUCAUACCGUGAGGAGAAGUUCAUAAAUAGCCAACUCAAAAAAACACCGUGUCGGGACUCCUCUGGUUAAAACACAAGCAUUUGUUGAACGAACACGUUUCUAUUUUCUGACACGACACAGACAGAUCGUUUGAGUGUAAAUCCCGCAGGUUUUGCUAUCUGGGAAGAUUCCAGGUUGAGCAGUCUGCUUAGACGUGUGUUCAGCCGGGGUGGUGGUGUGUGCAGCCAGCGAUCCUGAUCUCGAAACAGACACCUGCUGCUAAGAGGCAAGAGAUUUGCUGUGAAGUACGCAGAAGCUCCUCGAAGGAUCUGGUACGGACGGUUGAAAAGAUCCGAAGGACGGGGAAGCUGCAGCCGAGAGAGUCGUGUAGAGAAAGAGUG